GAUAGAGUGGCCGAGCGGUCUAAGGCGCUGGUUUUAGGCACCAGUCUCUUCGGUUUGGUGGGUUCAAAUCCCACUGCUGCCA
rnacentral:tRNA from 1 species